UUGCUUGGUGGAUUGAAGGAUCUUGAUCUGUGUUCCUCUCUCUCUCUCUCCCCCGCUUUCCCUUUUUUGCUGGUUUCUCCUACUCCUCGGCUUUCGACUUUCUUCAGGAAGAAUCGAUGUGGCUUAGUGUUUGAUCCGUCUUUUCCUUGUGAGGUAAAUCUAUCUCCAUCAUACUGCGAUUUGAAAUUUCUCCAGCUAUGAAGCAUUGGUGAACUUGAAUUGCACUACCGAUAUCUUAAAUCUAGAAGGAAGAUCCCAGCUGACAGUAGAAUUUGACGAACCAAGAGAACGUGCUCAUAGUUUGAUGCUUGCUCACAUACAGACUUUUUGUUCUUCUCCAAAUGAUGGUAAUAAUGUAUUCGGAGCUUAUGUUAAUGUGUAUAUAUAUAUAUACAAGUCAUGAUCCUAGUUUUAUUGUGAA